AUGCAACGCGAAGAACCUUACCUGGUCUUGACAUCCCGGAGACCCUUAGGAACUAGGGGUGCUUCCAUCUGAAGAAUCUGGAGACAGGUGCUGCAUGGCUGUCGUCAGCUCGUGUCGUGAGAUGUUGGGUUAAGUCCCGCAACGAGCGCAACCCUUGCCUUUAGUUGCCAGCAGUUCGGCUGGGCACUCUAAAGGGACUGCCGGUGUUAAACCGGAGGAAGGUGGGGAUGACGUCAAGUCCUCAUGGCCUUUAUGACCAGGGCUACACACGUACUACAAUGGCCGAUACAAAGGGCAGCGACACUGCGAGGUGAAGCCAAUCCCGUAAAAUCGGUCUCAGUCCGGAUUGGAGUCUGCAACUCGACUCCAUGAAGUUGGAAUCGCUAGUAAUCGUGGAUCAGCAUGCCACGGUGAAUACGUUCCCGGGCCUU
rnacentral:rRNA from 1 species